rfam:Mesocricetus auratus contig124879, whole genome shotgun sequence.
GGGUUUCAUCAAGGAGAGAAGGUUAGCACUCUCCUUGACAAGGAUGGAAGAGGCCCUUGGGCCUAACAACACACGUAUUGUUAAUGCAUUGCCAUCUGUUUCGUGGCACCUAACCACUGCACAACUGUUUUUA